GCAGCAGCCGCGGGAAUACGUAGGUGGCAAGCGUUGUCCGGAAUUAUUGGGCGUAAAGGGCUCGCAGGCGGUUUCUUAAGUCUGAUGUGAAAGCCCCCGGCUCAACCGGGGAGGGUCAUUGGAAACUGGGAAACUUGAGUGCAGAAGAGGAGAGUGGAAUUCCACGUGUAGCGGUGAAAUGCGUAGAGAUGUGGAGGAACACCAGUGGCGAAGGCGACUCUCUGGUCUGUAACUGACGCUGAGGAGCGAAAGCGUGGGGAGCGAACAGGAUUAGAUACCCCUGUAGUCCCUGUCUCUUAUAC
rnacentral:rRNA from 1 species